rnacentral:rRNA from 1 species
UACGUAGGGUGCGAGCGUUAAUCGGAAUUACUGGGCGUAAAGCGUGCGCAGGCGGUUGUGCAAGACAGAUGUGAAAUCCCCGGGCUUAACCUGGGAACUGCAUUUGUGACUGCACGGCUGGAGUGCGGCAGAGGGGGGUGGAAUUCCGCGUGUAGCAGUGAAAUGCGUAGAGAUGCGGAGGAACACCGAUGGCGAAGGCAGCCCCCUGGGUCGACACUGACGCUCAGGCACGAAAGCGUGGGGAGCAAACAGG